rnacentral:lncRNA from 1 species
CUGAAAUUAAGCCAGGAUUUGUCUCUUAUCCUGUAAUAAGUAACCCAGUGUAGACAAGCCUUUAAUAGAAUUGCACCUGUUGAAUCAUCAUCCGGUCCUUUCUUUCUUCCCUGCCCCACCCCAAGAACUUGUCUUAGAGUCAGCACCAGGAUGAAAGUGUUCACAAUCAGACAUCCUCUCUUUGCCAGAGUCAACUCAAUCCAGGGCCACCAAACAACCUCUCCAAUUAAGAAGUAUAUCGCUAUGGAAAAAAGAAUGCUUUUUGAGGAACAACUCAUGGAGGAACCUGAUCCAUAGA